UACGUAGGUGGCAAGCGUUGUCCGGAUUUAUUGGGUUUAAAGGGUGCGUAGGCGGCCUAUUAAGUCAGUGCUGAAAUAUCCCGGCUUAACCGGGAGGGUGGCAUUGAUACUGAUGGGCUAGAGUACAGAUGAGGUAGGCGGAAUUGACGGUGUAGCGGUGAAAUGCUUAGAUAUCGUCAAGAACACCGAUAGUGUAGACAGCUUACUAGACUUCAACUGACGCUGAGGCACGAAAGUGUGGGGAUCAAACAGG
rnacentral:rRNA from 1 species